GUGAGCGUAGUUCAAUGGUAGAGCACUGGAUUGUGGUUCCAGCCGUUGGGGGUUCGAGUCCCCUCGCUCACCCCA
rnacentral:tRNA from 1 species